GACAGAGGCCCCGAGCGUUAGUCGGAAUUACUGGGCUUAAAGGGUGCGUAGGCGGGCGCGUAAGUGUUCUGUGAAAUCCCCGGGCUCAACCCGGGAACCGCAGGGCAUACUGCGCGUCUCGAGGAAGCUAGAGGCCGGUGGAACGAUCGGUGGAGCGGUGGAAUGCGUAGAGAUCGAUCGGAACGCCAAGGGUGAAAACAGGUAGCUGGGGCUGUGCUGACACUGAGACACGAAAGCCAGGGGAGCAAACGGG
rnacentral:rRNA from 1 species